CAGGAGACUACAUUUUGUGUAAAGCCCAGCCAAGAAAAAACAAAACACUUGUUACUAAUCGAGAAAAGAAUAGAAAUGAAACGAACAAGCAUACACAGCAUACACUCAUUAGGCCCUUCAUCCUUCUAAGGUAGAUAAAUGGAAUACCAUUAAAUUGGAUAAUAGUAACAGCCCCUGGAUGUUGGGCAAAAUUAACAUCCCCAAGACGUACUUCGAAACCAGAGCAAUCUGAAUGUACCUUUCCUGGUUAAAUACUUUGUUAUGAUUAUUAGGGCUUUUCUAAUGAAUGAAACACGCUAAACUGAC